rnacentral:tRNA from 1 species
GCGCUGGUGCUGGAACUGGCAGACAGGCACGUUUGAGGGGCGUGUGGCGCAAGCCGUGGAGGUUCAAGUCCUCUCCAGCGCACCA